UGGCGGGUGCUAUACAUGCAGUCGAGCGAAUGGAUUAAGAGCUUGCUCUUAUGAAGUUAGCGGCGGACGGGUGAGUAACACGUGGGUAACCUGCCCAUAAGACUGGGAUAACUCCGGGAAACCGGGGCUAAUACCGGAUAACAUUUUGAACUGCAUGGUUCGAAAUUGAAAGGCGGCUUCGGCUGUCACUUAUGGAUGGACCCGCGUCGCAUUAGCUAGUUGGUGAGGUAACGGCUCACCAAGGCAACGAUGCGUAGCCGACCUGAGAGGGUGAUCGGCCACACUGGGACUGAGACACGGCCCAGACUCCUACGGGAGGCAGCAGUAGGGAAUCUUCCGCAAUGGACGAAAGUCUGACGGAGCAACGCCGCGUGAGUGAUGAAGGCUUUCGGGUCGUAAAACUCUGUUGUUAGGGAAGAACAAGUGCUAGUUGAAUAAGCUGGCACCUUGACGGUACCUAACCAGAAAGCCACGGCUAACUACGUGCCAGCAGCCGCGGUAAUACGUAGGUGGCAAGCGUUAUCCGGAAUUAUUGGGCGUAAAGCGCGCGCAGGUGGUUUCUUAAGUCUGAUGUGAAAACCCACGGCUCAACCGUGGAGGGUCAUUGGAAACUGGGAGACUUGAGUGCAGAAGAGGAAAGUGGAAUUCCAUGUGUAGCGGUGAAAUGCGUAGAGAUAUGGAGGAACACCAGUGGCGAAGGCGA
rnacentral:rRNA from 2 species